UUCCGAUUCCUUACAGAAAUCACCGGACUUUUCACAAGUCCCAAAUCUUGAAGAGUUGAUAUUGGUAUGGUGUAAGAGUUUGUCCGAGAUUCACCCCUCCAUUGGUCAUCUUGAAAGACUGACUUUGGUGAACCUUACAAGAUGUUGCAAGCUUAUUUCUCUUCCAAGGGAUUUCUAUAAGUCAAAAUCUGUUGAGACUCUUCUUCUUAAUGGAUGUUCAAAAUUCAUAGAACUGCAUGAGGAUAUAGGGCAGAUGAUAUCACUGAGAACACUUGAAGCAUAUAAAACAGCCAUAAGAGAAGUACCACCUUCCAUAGUAAGAAUGAAGAAUCUCACUCGUUUAUCCCUUGAUAAGUACUGCAUCAGCGUAGAGCUCAAAGGAGAAUACAAAUAUAUAGGUUGGGACCUAUGCCCUUUAAAGUCCAUACCAGAUGACUUUUUUAAUCAAGAUAAACUAGUUGUUUUAGAGAUGAACUAUAGUAGACUGGUACAAGUUUGGGAGGGUUCCAAGGUACAAUGAAUUACACCUGAUGAUGUUCUGUUUCUAUUUGUUUUUUGGAUUUCUUCUCUCUUUUUUAUUUUUAUUUUUAUAACAGCUUCAUUUCGGAUAUUAAUUUCAAUUUUCUUUUGAUUUUCUGCAACAGUCGUUUCGUAACCUGAAAACCCUUGAUCUCAGCCAUUCCUAUUCCCUACAGAAAUCACCGGACUUUUCACAAGUCCCAAAUCUUGAAGAGUUGAUAUUGAAAUGGUGUAAGAGUUUGUCCGAGAUUCACCACUCCAUUGGUCAUCUUGAAAGACUUUCUUUGGUGAACCUUACAAGAUGUUGCAAGCUUAUUUCUCUUCCAAGGGAUUUCUAUAAGUCAAAAUCUGUUGAGACUCUUCUUCUUAAUGAUUGUUAUGAAUUCAGAGAACUGCAUGAGGAUAUAGGGGAGAUGUUAUCACUGAGAACACUUGAAGCAGAGAAAACAGCCAUAAGAGAAGUACCACCUUCCAUAGUAGGAUUGAAGAAUCUCACUCGUUUAUCCCUUGACCGCAUCAGCGUAGAGCUCAAUGGAGAAUACAAAUAUCUUCCCAAAGAGCUAAUAACGUUGUGGUGGGAAGGAUGCCCUUUAAAGUCCAUACCAGAUGACUUUUUUAAUCAAGAUAAACUAGUUGUUUUAGGGAUGCAGUUUAGCGAACUGGUACAAGUUUGGAAGGGUUCCAAGGUACAAUGAAUACACCUGAUGAUGUUAUGUUUCUGUUUGUUUUUUGGAUUUCCUUUUAUUUUUUAUUAAUGACAUCUUCAUUUCGGAUAUUAAUUUCAAUUUUCUUUUGAUUUUCUGCAACAGUCGCUACAUAACUUGAAAACCCUUGAUCUCACCUAUUCCCGUUCCUUAGAGAAAUCACCGGACUUUUCACAAGUCCCAAAUCUUGAAGAGUUGAUAUUGGAAGAGUGUAUUAGUCUGUCCGAGAUUCACCCCUCCAUUGGUCAUCUUAAAAGACUUUCUUUGGUGAACCUUAGUCGAUGUAAUGAGCUUAUUUCUCUUCCAAAGGAUUUCUAUAAAUUGAAAUCUGUUGAGACUCUUCUUCUUAAUGGAUGUUCAAAAUUCAUAGAACUGCAUGAGGAUAUAGGGCAGAUGAUAUCACUGAGAACACUUGCAGCAUAUAAAACAGUCAUAAGAGAAGUACCACCUUCCAUAGUAAGAUUGAAGAAUCUCACUUGUUUGUCCCUAUCAGGUGUGGGAAGUAUUCAUUUGCCACAUUCGUUACACGGCUUAAACUCUUUAAGGGAAUUAGACAUCUCAUGUUGCGGAUUAGCCGAUAAUGAAAUCCCUGGGGAUCUUGGGAGUCUAAUUUCUUUACAAGUUUUGGAUCUUUCACGGAAUAAUUUUCACAUCCUACCCAACCUCAGUGGCGUAGAGCUCAAUGGAGUAUACAAACAUCUUCCUAAAGAGUUAAUAUGGUUGCAUUGGGAAGAAUUCCCUUUAAAGUCCAUACCAGAUGACAUUUUUAAUCAAGAUAAACUAGUUGUUUUAGACAUGCAGGGUAGCAAACUGGUACAAGCUAGGGAUGGUUCCAAGGUACAAUGAAUUACACAUGAUGAUGUUCUGUUUCUAUAUGUUUUUUGGAUUUCUUCUCUUUUAUUUUAUUUUUUAUAACAUCUUCAUUUCGGAUAUUAAUUUCAAUUUUCUUUUGAUUUUCUGCAACAGUCACUAUAUAACUUGAAAACCCUUGAUCUCAGCUGUUCCGAUUCCUUACAGAAAUCACCGGACUUUUCACAAAUCCCAAAUCUUGAAGAGUUGAUAUUGGAAGGGUGUUCUAGUUUGUCCGAGAUUCACCCCUCCAUUGGUCAUCUUAAAAAACUUUCUUUGGUGAACCUUACCCAAUGUUGGGAACUUAUUUCUCUUCCAAGGGAUUUCUAUAAAUUGAAAUCUGUUAAGACUCUUCUUCUUAAUGGAUGUUCAAAAUUCAUAGAACUGCAUGAGGAUAUAGGGGAGAUGAUAUCACUGAGAACACUUGAAGCAGAGCGAACAUCCAUAAGAGAAGUACCACCUUCCAUAGUAAGAUUGAAGAAUCUCACUGGUUUAUCCCUUGAUAAGUACCGCAUCAGUGUAAAGCUCAAAGGAGAAUACAAAUAUCUGUGUUGGGACCUAUGCCCUUUAAAGUCCAUACCAGAUGACUUUUUUAAUCAAGAUAAACUAGUUGUUUUACAGAUGCAGUAUAGCAAACUGGUACAAGUUUGGGAGGGUUCCAAGGUACAAUGAAUUACACGUGAUGAUGUUCUGUUUCUCUUUCUUUUUUUUAUAACAGCUUCAUUUCGGAUAUUAAUUUCAAUUUUCUUUUGAUUUUCUGCAACAGUCACUAUAUAACUUGAAAACCCUGGAUCUCAGCUGUUCCGAUUCCUUACAGAAAUCACCGGACUUUUCACAAGUCCCAAAUCUUGAAGAGUUGAUAUUGGAAGGGUGUUCUAGUUUGUCCGAGAUUCACCCCUCCAUUGGUCAUCUUAAAAAACUUUCUUUGGUGAACCUUACCCAAUGUUGGGAACUUAUUUCUCUUCCAAGGGAUUUCUAUAAAUUGAAAUCUGUUGAGACUCUUCUUCUUAAUGGAUGUUCAAAAUUCAUAGAACUGCAUGAGGAUAUAGGGGAGAUGAUAUCACUGAGAACACUUGAAGCAGAGCGAACAUCCAUAAGAGAAGUACCACCUUCCAUAGUAAGAUUGAAGAAUCUCACUGGUUUAUCCCUUGAUAAGUACGGCAUCAGUGUAAAGCUCAAAGGAGAAUACAAAUAUCUGUGUUGGGACCUAUGCCCUUUAAAGUCCAUACCAGAUGACUUUUUUAAUCAAGAUAAACUAGUUGUUUUACAGAUGCAGUAUAGCAAACUGGUACAAGUUUGGGAGGGUUCCAAGGUACAAUGAAUUACACGUGAUGAUGUUCUGUUUCUAUUUGUUUUUUGGAUUUCUUCUCUUUCUUUUUUUUAUAACAUCUUCAUUUCGGAUAUUAAUUUUAAUUUAUUUUGAUUUUCUGCAACAGUCGCUUCGUUACUUGAAAACCCUUGAUCUCAGCUAUUCCUGGUCCUUACAGAAAUCACCGGACUUUUCACAAGUCCCAAAUCUUGAAGAGUUGAUAUUGGAAGAUUGUUAUAGUUUGUCUGAGAUUCACCCCUCCAUUGGUCAUCUUAAAGGACUUUCUUUGGUGAACCUUAGAGACUGUCGUAAGCUUAUUUCUCUUCCAAGGGAUUUCUAUAAGUUGAAAUCUGUUGAGACUCUUCUUCUUAAUGGAUGUUGGAAAUUCAGAGAAUUGCAUGAGGAUAUAGGGGAUAUGAUAUCACUGAGAACACUUGAAGCAGAGCAAACAGCCAUAAGAGAAGUACCGCCUUCCAUAGUAGGAUUGAAGAAUCUCACUCGUUUAUCCCUUGACCGCAUCAGCUGCAUAGAGCUUAAUGAAGAAUACAAACAUCUUCCCAAAGAGUUAAUAUGGUUGCGUUGGUUUGGAUGCCCUUUAAAGUCCAUACCAGAUGACUUUUUUAAUCAAGAUAAACUAGUUGUUUUACAGAUGCAGUAUAGCAAACUGGUACAAGUUUGGGAGGGUUCCAAGGUACAAUGAAUUACACCUGAUGAUGUUCUGUUUCUAUUUGUUUUUUUUUGGAUUUCUUCUCUUUUUUUAUAACAUCUUCAUUUCGGAUAUUAAUUUCAAUUUUCUUUUGAUUUUCUGCAACAGUCGCUACAUAACUUGAGAACCCUUGAUCUCAGCUAUUCCUGUUCCUUACAAAAAUCACCGGACUUUUCACAAGUCCCAAAUCUUGAAGAGUUGAUAUUGGUAUGGUGUAAGAGUUUGUCCGGGAUUCACCCCUCCAUUGGUCAUCUUAAAAGACUUUCUUUGGUGAACCUUAGAGACUGUCGUAAUCUUAUUUCUCUUCCAAGGGAUUUCUACAAGUCGAAAUCUGUUGAGACUCUUCUUCUUAAUGGAUGUUGGAAAUUCAGAGAACUGCAUGAGGAUAUAGGGGAGAUGAUAUCACUAAGAACACUUGAAGCAGAGCAAACAGCCAUAAGAGAAGUACCACCUUCCAUAGUAGGAUUGAAGAAGUUUUUCCCUUGACCGCAUCAGCUGCGUAGAGCUUAAUGAAGAAUACAAACAUCUUCCCAAAGAGUUAAUACGGUUGUGUUGGUUUGGAUGCCCUUUAAAUUCCAUACCAGAUGACUUUUUUAAUCAAGAUAAACUAGUUCUUUUAGAGAUGCAGCAAAGCGAACUGGUACAAGUUUGGGUGGGUUCCAAGGUACAAUGAAUUUCACCUGAUGAUGUUCUGUUUCUAUUUGUUUUUUGGAUUUCUUCUCUUUUUUAAUUGUUUUAUUUUUAUAACAUCUUCAUUUCGGAUAUUAAUUUCAAUUUUCUUUUGAUUUUCUGCAACAGUCGCUACAUAACUUGAAAACCCUUGAUCUCAGCCAUUCCUACUCCUUACAGAAAUCACCGGACUUUUCACAAGUCCCAAAUCUUGAAGAGUUGAUAUUGGUAUGGUGUAAGAGUUUGUCCGAGAUUCACCCCUCCAUUGGUCAUCUUAAAAGACUUUCUUUGGUGAACCUUAAGUGGUGUUUCAAACUUAUUUCUCUUCCAAGGGAUUUCUAUAAAUUGAAAUCUGUUGAAGCAGAGUGUACAUCCAUAAGAGAAGUACCACCUUCCAUAGUAAAAUUGAAGAAUCUCACUCGUUUAUCCCUAUUAGCUGUGAAAAGUAUUCAUUUGCCACAUUCGUUACACGGCUUAAACACUUUUAAGGGAAUUAAAUCUCUCAUGGUGUGCAAAUUAGCUGAUGAUGCAAUCCCUAAGGAUCUUGGGAGUCUAAUUUCUUUACAAGAUUUGAAUCUUCAAGGGAAUGAUUUUCAUACCCUACCCAGUCUCAGUGGUCUUUCAAAGCUUGAAACUCUGCGGUUAGAUGGAUGCUUUAACCUUCGUACAAUCCAUGAUAUACCACCAAAUGUGAAAGUUCAGCAUGAGUAAUAUCCUGAGGUCGAUGUGUGCAAUGUUAUGUAGGCAGAGAAGAUUGGGAGGAGCUACUAUAUGAAGACUAUCUUUUCAAGCUUUUACUUUGGAGUUGGAGGUUCCUUGGGGCUCUUGAAGCAGAUUCUACAGCCAUAAGACAAGUAGCACCUUCCAUAGUAGCAUUGAAGAAUCUCACUUUUAUCUCUGAGUACUGUGCCUAGUCAUUUGCCCAAAUUACCUGAUGAUGCAAUCCCUAAGGAUCUUGGAGGGAAUGAUGUUCAUACCCUACCCAGCCUCAGUGGCCUUUCAAAGCUUGGAGGGAAUGGAUGCAUAUAUCUUCAUACAAUCCGUGAUUUACCAAGAAGUUUGAAAUUUCUGUAUGCCAUUGCCCAAUUUUUCGGAAAUGUCAAAUAUGAGAGAACUGGAAGCAAGUGAUUCUCUCAAACUCACUUGAGGCUCCACGCUUGGAUAAGUUAUUAAACCCCAUGACAUGGACUGAUAUGAAAAGGUUUACCAAUCUCACAGCUGAUUUUGGCAAGAACAUCAUAUAGGUAUCUCUCUCCCCCCUCCCCCUCUCUCCCCAAAGUUCUAAUUGCCUUCCUAUUGUGCACAUGCAGAUUCCUAUGGCUUUUCCAAAACGUAGUUGUUUUGAAUUUUGAAGAUAUAUUGCAUUCAGAAACAUUUCAAUACUACAAGAACCGAUAUAAAAUGCAUCCAAUGAUCCGAGAAAUAGCACUCGAAUUCGCAGAAAUACAAAUGCACCAACGUUUUCUUGUCAAAUGCACGUUCUCAUUUUAUGAGUGUAACCAUACUUAAUAUUCAACACUGGACAUUACAUAAUCAAGUUCUUGUAAUUCAAAAAGGCCAUACCUCCACUCACCCUGAGAUACAAAGGCAUCUGUUUCUUCUACCUUAGGGUUUUCGUCUGCAAGACCAGCUAUGAUUGGGGAAGCGUCACUUUUAUAGUCCAUAAUAAUUCUCUUCUCACUUUCUUCACUCACAACAUUUUUGGUCUGCAUAAAGAACAUUACUACAUUUAGCUUCCUAAAGUUAUAUUUGUAAGGUGAAAAAAAAAGCAGAAAUUUUCUAAAAUGAUUUUGAGGCAAGGAAGACUUGCAACUGAUUUAGUUACUUUAGGAUCUUUGGCUGGAUAUUCCUUCUUUAAGUGAUUUCUUUUCCGCUCGGUUGAGUUACAUGCUACAUUUCUGAGAUGAGCGUUUCGAGAUUGUGAUUGUUGCUGUAAUUGGUUGCCGAGAUAUUGACUUGAAACAGUCUUCUCACCUUCCUCAAACUGUUUCUUCAGAGCGGCCUGCAAAGGUCUUGACGGGUACUCUUCGAUUCCCAUGAGCUUGGCAAUCAGACUUGGCCCUUUUCCCGCCUUUUGUGAAGCAGCUGUUGUUGCUGCAAUGGUGGAGUCACUGGUGGUAUGAAACACAGAACUUUGGGUUGAGCUGGUGGAGGGAGUAUCCAAGAACAAAUCCAUAUAUCGAAAAUAGUUUACCCUUUUCGACAGAUUCUGUAUUUUCCACAAGUUUCUGCCUCACAAGGCUGUCUCUGAUCACCUCCUUAAGCUCUUGAUUUCCAUUCCUUGAAAACCAUCAGCAGAACGCCUUGGUUUUUCAAAUUCCGUCACAGAAUUGUGUUUUUUUUGUUUAAGUGAGCCGUACUCUGAAGCUUCCUGUGCAACUUGCUAAGAAUGACUAGAGAACCCUCCAGAUCAAGAGCUCCUUCCAAGUAGUCUUUCACAAUGUCCUUCGACUGCUGCCCUUCGAACCUCAUCUCUUUCGACCAGGAAUCAAUUGUGCGGUUUAGCUUCUGAGAUUCUCUGGACACUUUGACAAAUUUUUGGAAUUCCGCAAUAUCUUUCUCUGGUGAGUUCCUAAUAACCGAAGUCACCUUUUGGAUCUUAUCAACCUUGUCAAUUGCCUCCUUUCUAUGUGGUUUGAGAUCUUAUCAGCUUUUGGAUUUCCUGCUUAUGUGUGAGGCACAGGUUGACUUGUAGUGAUUCCAAAUUUCGUCAACUUCACUGUGAGGCACAGGUUGACUUGGAGUGAUUCCAGAUUUCCAAUGCACCUUUGGUGUGAUGCCAAAAGUCAGAGUGAUUCCAGAUCUCUCUUUUGUUCCCAUCUCUUCUUAUUGUUACAUACUCAGAUACUCUAGAUAAGAUAUAUGGUCACUCGUGCAAUCAAAAACCUUUUUCUAAGAAUAAGACAAUUAAGCAUCCAAGUUGAAGAAAAUCAAACCCUAGCUUCACUGAAGUCGGAUAGAAACUGUCCUUACUGAAGUUGGAUUAUCGCACCAAAAUUUGUGUCUAGCUAGGGUGAGAUGAAGAGAGAAAAUGGACUACAUACUGGCUCAGCAACGUCAAACCCCAAGACCAAUGACUAAUGCAAGUUAGAAUAUACCAAUCCAAUAAUGGGGUUUAAGGAAUGCAUUUCAGAAUACGACGUAACAAAAACGUUGAUUCCAAGUUGAGCAUAUAUUGGAGAGAAGAAGCUAUCCAAAAAGUGAAUAACCACCACGUAAUAUAGAAAGUGAUCGCUACUGGAAAUAGGAUCACACUGCAAAAGAACAAAGAGUGAGCAGCUAAUAUUUAUAUAUAUAUGAACCAAGAGCGAACAAUAAAAUUUUGGAUUAAUCAAUCGUACAAGAAAAGCAUAUAUGUAAUGUCUAUUAUACCUUAAACAAAAUUCAUGUGUAAUUGGGGUUGCACAAGGAAAGCUCAAAUAGCCAACAAUAGUACUUGCAUAUAUUCGCCGUAGGUGAUUUUGCGUAAUGAACAAUAAUACAUGUAAACAUAUGCAAAUGAUCGGUUUCUUACACAUGAAUAUAACCUUUUGUUAACAGGGAACUGAAGAAGUUGAAGGACUUGCUCUACAUUUGCCUUAUGGUUAUGGCACUGCUAGUUUCAGCACAGAAGCAUUUGCCAAUAUGAAAAAACUGAGAUUGCUUCAGCUCGACAGAGUAGAGCUCAAUGGAGAAUACAAACAUCUUCCCAAAGAGUUAAUAUGGUUGUGUUGGUGUGGAUGCCCUUUGCAGUCCAUACUAGAUGACUUUUUUAAUCAAGAUAAACUAGUUGUUUUCGACAUGCGGUGGAGCAAUCUGGUACAAGUUUGGGAGGGUUCCAAG
rnacentral:lncRNA from 1 species